rnacentral:misc_RNA from 1 species
CAAAAAAAAAGGUAGAGAAGAAAUUAAAAAAGAUUCCUAUGAUGCAAUCUGCAAAGUUGAGCAACAAACUGCCAUGAUAAUCAUAAAUUCCACUGUUGAAAACAGCACGUAUCAGGAACAAUACUUCAUCUGGAUCAGAAUGAGGAUCUGCGCGGUCUUUCCUCAGCAACAUUCACUCGAAGUGCCCGACCCUCCAAACUCUGUCCAUCAAGAGCCGCAAUUGCAUCGCCCACUUCUUCCCUUGUCGCCAAGGUUACAAAUCCAAACCCACGGGAGCGACCACUCUCUCGGUCAUACACAACUCUUGCAUCUAUAACUUUACCAUGUUCGCUGAAUAAUUGUUCCAAGCGGGAAUCAUCCACUUGCCAUGGCAGGUUACCGACGUAGACCCUCAAAGAAGGCUCGGAUUCCCGGGGUCUCUCUGGGCGACUGCCUCUUGGAGCUGCCUUGUUGACAGUCAAGUUUCUUCCGUUGAUGUCAUAACGAUGAAGCAUCUCCACGGCCCUCUCGGCUUCUUCGACAGUGCUCAUGGUCACAAACCCAAACCCCCGGCUCUGAUCAGUCUCCCUAUUGUAAAUUACCUCGGCUACCUCGACCACUCCGGCCUUAUCGAACAAAUUAGCCAGCUUCUCGCUGUCCAUGUCGUACGGGAGGUUGCCGACGAAGAGCUUCGCCUCCUCCGGUGGCUCGG